AUAUAUGCCCAUAUCACAUUGAAAACAAUGGUUCUUAUUCGAUCACUGAAGUUAAGAAACAUUGAGCCUAGUUAGGACUUAGAUGAGUGACAGCUUGGGAAACCUACAUGCUGUAGACA
rnacentral:rRNA from 1 species